rnacentral:rRNA from 1 species
UACGUAGGAUCCAAGCGCUAUCCGGAAUUACUGGGCGUAAAGCGUGCGCAGACGGUUUGGUAGGUCUUAUGCGAAAUCCGGUGGCUCAACCACCUGGACUGUAUGAGAAACCCCUGACUUGAGGUAGGUAGAGGUACAUGGAAUUUCUGGUGUAGGAGUGACAUCCGUAGAUAUCAGGAAGGAACACCAUGGCGAAGGCAGGUC